UAUUUUACCAUUUAACAUUUUUUGACAAGUUUUAAAAACUUUCGGCCCAACUUUUUACUUGCUGUGACCGUUUUCAGGGCUGAAAAGUUAGAGCUGAACAAUUUUCAAUGUUGUCUAAAACCAGAAAAUGACACAAUAGGAGGCAUUCUGACAAACCCCACAAUUUAAUGGCAUUCGACGAAACCCACUUGCGGCAAAAUUUUAAUUUCUCGUGGCUGGAUCUGACGCUUUCACGCAUGGCCCCUUCCAAAAGUCCAAAUUUCUCUCGGCUGGUUCUGACGCUUUCACGCGCGGCCCCUUCGAAAAGUCCAAUUUCCCGUGGCUGGUUCUGACGCUUUCGCGCACGCGCCCCGUCGAAAAGUCCAAAGCUCACGUUAAACUCUAUGAUAUGAUCCGCAGUGGGGCCGCCGUGAGGUGGACUAUGCUUGUUCCGUUGCACGGCGCUGAUCACCAGUGGGCCUCACCUGGGCCGGGCGAUAGCCGCCCACCAUCAUUACCGUCCGAUACCAGGGGCAGAAUAAAACUGGCGGAUCUCCGCCGUCUGGAUCCACAAACCCGGCGGAGCCAUUCCUCAUUCGAACCAAAGCCCAUCUUUUCCUUCUCCCUAUAUAAAUAAAUAAAAAACUUAUUAAAAUAUAAAAUAAGAUAUCUCACCUUCUCUACGCACCUCGGCCGUCCGAUGACUCCAUUUGUUCCCCCGGAGCACCGAUCCUGCCGUCCACUUGUUAAAUCGCCUGAGUUUAAGUCGAAGCACCAUCCUUAAAUAUAGCAAUUAUAAUUUUUUUAUUCGCAUCUCACGUCGCCGUCGCGUGUCCUUAUUAAUACCGCCGCGGCGUCGCACCUCCCUUUGUUCCAUCGCCCCCAUUGCUCGCCAAGAGUUCUUCUUGUUAGGCAAGGCAAAAGCAGAAGCAAAAAGGUAAGAACAGUCUCAGAUUCCUCCCUCAUUCGCAUGUCUCUCGAUUUCUCGAUGCGUGAGAUCGGCUACCAUCAUCCUUCGCGUCUGAUUUGCUUCUCUUCUCGUAUAUUUGUAACAAGAGAUCUGAUCUAAACCUGAUUUUAAAAUACUGUGCUGGUCGACGAGUCGCAAUCCGCCAUGCGAAUUAACUGAAUAGGGUAUUUUUGCAUUACGUGAUCAGAUCUAAUUGAUUAUAGCGACGCCGUGUGGCGGAUUGUGAAGCCAGGUGCAGAUCUGUUUGGUUAUGCUGCGGAUUUGCUGCUCGUCUAACAUGUUGCUGACUGCUGUGUGUUAUUUGGUAGGUCUCGUUGGCGAUGGCGAGCUCGGGAGUUUCGUGGACGCUGCCAGACCACCCGAAGCUCCCCAAGGGGAAGCCGGUGGCCGUCGUCGUGCUGGACGGAUGGGGUGAGGCCAGCCCCGACCAGUACAACUGCAUCCAUGUCGCUCAGACUCCUGUCAUGGACUCGCUAAAGAAUGUGCGUAUGCUUUCCUUAACACCUGCCCUUCUGUUUUAUCCAGUAUCGCAAAGAAGAAGUCAUUGUGGGAUUGCAUAGAUGCUCUUUUUUUUGAGUGUGUAUUAGAUAUCUUGGUUCUGAUUGUUGCUAGCACUGGUUGCAUUAUUAUCGUGAGCCUAAUUCUAAGCUCCAGUUCAGUCAUGACGGAUCUAAUUUCAAUUAAUACUGGUAUGUAAUGGCUUUUAGAUUUUUCUAUAUAAUCUUGAUUAAGGUUAAGUUCUACAGAUUAAGGUUAAAUGCUUUUUUCCAUACCAAUACUCACUGUUAUGCAUAUGGGGCUCUGUGCCAAGCAGUGAAUGCUGAGUUUUUCUCUGAAGUAUGGACAGAAGUUUCAUGCAGCCUUGUUUAGUUCUCAAAAAAUUUUGCAAAAAUUUUCAGAAUCCCGUCACAUCGAAUCUUGUGGCACAUGUAUGGAACAUUAAAUAUAGAUAAAAAAAACUAAUUGCACAGUUUGCAUGUAAUUUGCGAGACGAAUCUUUUGAGCCUAGUUAGUAUAUGAUUAGACAGUAUUUGUUAAAUACAAACGAAAGUACUACAGUGUCCGUUUUGCAAAAAAAAAUGGAACUAAACAAGGCCGGAUUGUCUGAAAAUGGUUAUGCCCUGAGGUUACCGAUGUUUUGAAAGUGUAUCCAUUCAGUUGCUUGUUUGUCCAUUGUCUCAUACUUAGUGUUAAUGAAAAAUAACAUGGUGUUGCACAUAACCUCUGCUUCUGCUUUUUUCUCUUGGAUGAAAGAUUGUUCUGUCGGCAUUAUUUGAUUUGCAGGUAUACUGUCUUCAUGCUUUUACUCACCUUUUUGUGAAAUAUAUACAUUAGGGUGCUCCUGAGAAAUGGACACUAGUGAAGGCUCAUGGAACAGCUGUGGGUCUCCCAUCUGAUGAUGACAUGGGCAACAGUGAAGUUGGCCACAAUGCACUUGGUGCUGGUCGGAUUUUUGCCCAAGGGUACGUUAGAUAUUUAUUUAUUUAUGGAAAUAUUUUGUUGUUGUUGUAAUAACUAAUGCGCUGUGGCUUCAAUAUUACAUUUGAACAUGAAUGCUUGCAACUAUGUUUUUCCUAUACAGGCCAAACCUCCCCGUGAGAUAGGCAUGUAGUUGCUAACAAAUAAUUUUGUCCAUAUAAGAUUCAAAAUCUUUGAAGCUUGGUACAGUACAAAGUAUUUGCUUCAUAAAGAGAAUGGAGCCUGUAACUUAGUAUUCUUAUUGUCAUCAGUUACUAGUUUCAUUGACACAUCAUUGAUUUUAUUAAUUUUCUUGCUUUGAGUAAUUGCUGAACUAGGACACCUCUCUUGCAUGCGCUGAUUUGUUUCUCACUACUGCAGUGUACUUUUUGGCUCAACAUUUGAAUUCAUAUGCAAUAAAGAACUUGAUCUUAGUGUGCUAUUUUGUCUGUCAUGUUAGUCUUAAAUAAAACCUUUAGUCCUUAAGAGUUCAUAAUAGAUGUUCUAUGAUCUGAGAGCUGCAUUCUUUCUGCCUAUAGUGCUAAGCUUGUCGAUAGUGCUCUUGCCUCUGGAAAGAUUUAUAGUGGAGAUGGGUUCAACUACAUCAAAGAAUCUUUUGAAAGUGGUACUCUUCACCUUAUUGGGUUGUUGAGUGAUGGUGGUGUCCACUCUCGUCUUGACCAACUGCAGGUUUGCUAAUAAUCUGUUUUCAAUUUGUUUAGUUAAGUUACAAGUUUACCACAAGAUUUACUUUUUUUUGGCUCUAUCCAGUUACUUCUGAAAGGUGCCAGUGAGAGGGGAGCAAAAAAAAUCCGUGUGCACAUCCUUACCGAUGGGCGUGAUGUUUUGGAUGGCAGCAGUGUUGGUUUCGUGGAGACCCUAGAGAAUGAUCUUUCGGAGCUUCGAGGGAAGGGUAUUGAUGCACAAAUUGCAUCUGGUGGUGGAAGGAUGUAUGUUACCAUGGACCGUUAUGAGGUGAACGUUUUUUUGUCAUAUUCAAGCAUCAGUGUUCAUUGUCUAACACCUUUGCCAUAUUCAAGCAUCCGUGUUCAUUGUCUAACACCUUGGCUUACAGUUUUGUUUUGUUUAAUACCUUCCAGAAUGACUGGGAUGUGGUUAAACGUGGCUGGGAUGCCCAGGUGCUUGGAGAAGCACCCUACAAAUUCAAAAGUGCACUUGAGGCUGUGAAAACACUGAGAGCACAGCCCAAUGCUAAUGAUCAGUACUUGCCCCCAUUUGUGAUUGUUGACGACAGUGGCAAAGCUGUUGGGCCUGUAUUAGAUGGUGAUGCAGUUGUCACUCUCAACUUCCGAGCUGAUCGCAUGGUUAUGCUUGCCAAAGCACUAGAAUACGCAGAUUUUGACAAAUUUGACCGUGUUCGUGUCCCCAAAAUCCGAUAUGCUGGGAUGCUUCAGUAUGAUGGUGAGUUGAAGCUUCCAAGCCGUUACCUUGUUUCCCCACCAGAGAUAGAUAGAACAUCUGGGGAGUACUUGGUGAAGAAUGGCGUCCGCACCUUUGCUUGCAGGCAAGUUCUUUCAGCCUUUCUCUUGAUACUUUUUUUUUGUUUACUUCAAUAUUGUAAACCACUUAGUUUUUCUGAGUCAUCUAAGUUCGCAUGGUUCAUUUAUUUUGAAUCAACAUUAUCUAGUGUAGUUUUUACAAUCUUGUACAUACCUGUGAGGGGCACUUGCCUUCUGGAAAGAUAUUGUCGCGAGUUAUAUCCAUUACCAUAUACUGCAUCCGUACUAGUAUAUUUCAUAUUUGUAGAAACAAGUUUUUUCUAGGGUUCUUGCUGCAGAGGACUAUGCUGACAUUGUGCUAACUUAGGCUGAUAUUUGGUUCCAUUGUUCUGUCCAUGAUUUGUUCCUUAAUACUGUAUAUUAGGGCUGCAUAAUGUUGUUUUUGGAUUGAUUCAUUUCUGUAUCAUCCUUGUGCUUGCAAGACAUUUGCCUAUCCUUUUUUUUACUUAUUAUGCGGCAACAUUGGUUUGUGUGGCAGUGAGACAGUGAAAUUCGGCCAUGUCACAUUUUUCUGGAACGGCAACCGUUCAGGAUACUUUGAUGAAACUAAGGAAGAGUAUGUAGAAGUUCCUAGUGACAGUGGUAUUACAUUCAAUGUUGCACCCAAGAUGAAGGCGCUUGAAAUUGCUGAGAAAGCCAGGGAUGCUCUCCUAAGUGGAAAGUUUGACCAGGUAAAUAGUUCUGAAAUUUCUAUUAGAUGAGUCUUUCUGAAAUUAGUUUGAGGAGGGAAAUAGUUCUGAAAUUUCUAUUAGAUGAGUUUCGGUUUCCCUGUUGCUAAGCAUAUUGUUGUUAUAGGUACGUGUCAACCUGCCAAAUGGUGACAUGGUUGGUCACACUGGUGAUAUUGAGGCCACCGUUGUUGCUUGCAAGGCAGCUGAUGAAGCUGUUAAGGUGAGAGCAUCAAUAAAAGUUUGCUUACAUGUUGUGUGUUGUCUUCAUAAUCUGCAUUGAAAGUUUGCUUAUACAUCAAUAAAAGUUUGCUUACAGUAGCAGACUUUAUAGGCCUUUGCCUAUUUUAACCAAAUGCUCUUCUGAACAGAUUAUUUUGGAUGCUGUCGAGCAAGUUGGUGGUAUUUACCUUGUUACUGCCGAUCAUGGCAAUGCAGAGGAUAUGGUGAAAAGGAACAAAGCUGGCAAGCCAUUGCUCGACAAGAAUGGUGGUAUCCAGAUUCUAACCUCGCAUACCCUUCAGCCAGUGAGUGCAAUACCAUUUGAACCCCAUGUCUUUGGUUGUCUCCAAGUAAAAGCGUACCCAUGUUGAUUGCUUGAUGUUGAUGUUAAUGCCUCUGUAAAACUUGCAGGUCCCGGUUGCCAUUGGAGGCCCUGGUCUUCACUCCGGAGUGAAAUUCCGGAAGGACAUUGAAACCCCUGGGCUCGCCAACGUCGCGGCGACUGUGAUGAACCUCCAUGGAUUUGUGGCCCCUGCUGACUACGAGCAAACCCUGAUUGAAGUGGCUGACAACUAAAGACUGGCCAGCUAUGCCCAAUUUUGGUUCUAUAGUUUGAGAAUGGAUAUGGCCAUGUCAUUUAAUAAUUUAUGUUUGCAAGCACGUUGCUCAAACUCAGCAAAACAUUGAGAGAUGCCUUUUGACUUGCAUUUAGAUGCUCUAUUUAUACCGAUGACAGUUGUAUGCUGUGCUGGCUUUUGGCAGUUUGAUAGCUAUCUUUAUUUAGCUAUGUAUACUGUAUCUGAGGCCGCAAACUUUGUCUCAGUCUAAAAUUGCUCGAGGUUAUAUACUGUUUGUGUGAGUCAUCACUAGUGAUUACCUUUUGCCUCACGCCUUGACGAACGAGUUCGUUAACCUGCUGAGAAUGGACUCAUGGUACUACGGUAAUAGCUUUUGUGGGAAGGUGCAGUAAUACUGAGAUGGCGAGCUGUCAGCUUCAGAUAACAUCUCACUAUCGAGCGAGCUAACUAGGGCAUUUUGAUGAUAUACAUGGUUCAAGACCUGUUCUGAGGCCUUGUUUAGAUACGAAAAGGUUUUGGAUUUUACUACUGUAGCACUUUCGUUUGUUUGUGGCAAAUAUUGUCUAAUCAUGGACUAACUAGGAUUAAAAGAUUCGUCUCGUGAUUUACAGGUAAACUUGCAAUUACUUUUUAUUUUUAUCUAUAUUUAAUGCUUCAUGCAUUUGACAAAAAAUUCGAUGUGAUGAGAAAUUUUGAAAACUUUUUGAGUUUUGAGGUGAACUAAACAAGGCCUGAAUUUAUCCAUACAUGUUUGGCUUUUAAACUCCAUCCGUGCUUAUCUUUGAACAUCAUCUUGCCACGCCUAGUAGCCUAGUAGGUAACCAAAAUUAAUGACAUAACAUACCGGGAGGUGCUGGACGGAGGGGCGCGCGGAGGGAAUUGGCGUUGGGGGAGGGCGCGGCGUCGGCGGCGGCCCGUGGCCGAGCGCAUUCCUCCCGGACGCGGCCUAGCGCGAGCUGUCGGCGGGAUGCGCGCGUCGUCAGGUCCAAGAGGAUACCGC
rnacentral:lncRNA from 1 species